rnacentral:tRNA from 1 species
GGCUAUAGCCAAGCGGUAAGGCAACGGACUUUGACUCCUUCGAUUCCGUCCUUGUGUCGGCGGUUCGAUUCCGUCCCGAGCCA